GAAUGCUGACAUAAGUAACGAUAAAGCGGGUGAAAAGCCCGCUCGCCGGAAGACCAAGGGUUCCUGUCCAACGUUAAUCGGGGCAGGGUGAGUCGACCCCUAAGGCGAGGCCGAAAGGCGUAGUCGAUGGGAAACAGGUUAAUAUUCCUGUACUUGGUGUUACUGCGAAGGGGGGACGGAGAAGGCUAUGUUGGCCGGGCGACGGUUGUCCCGGUUUAAGCGUGUAGGCUGGUUUUCCAGGCAAAUCCGGAAAAUCAAGGCUGAGGCGUGAUGACGAGGCACUACGGUGCUGAAGCGACAAA
rnacentral:rRNA from 1 species